GGAGUUAGCCGGUGCUUCUUCUGCGAGUAACGUCACAGAUGUAAGGUAUUAACUUACACCCUUUCCUCCUCGCUGAAAGUGCUUUACAACCCGAAGGCCUUCUUCACACACGCGGCAUGGCUGCAUCAGGGUUUCCCCCAUUGUGCAAUAUUCCCCACUGCUGCCUCCCGUAGGAGUCUGGGCCGUGUCUCAGUCCCAGUGUGGCUGAUCAUCCUCUCAGACCAGCUAGGGAUCGUCGCCUAGGUGAGCCUUUACCUCACCUACUAGCUAAUCCCACCUGGGCUUAUCCAUCAGCGCAAGGCCCGAAGGUCCCCUGCUUUCCCCCGUAGGGCGUAUGCGGUAUUAGCAGUCGUUUCCAACUGUUAUCCCCCACAAAUGGGCAAAUUCCCAGGCAUUACUCACCCGUCCGCCGCUCGUCAUCUUCAAAAGCAAGCUUUUGAAAUGUUACCGCUCGACUUGCAUGUGUUAGGCCUGCCGCCAGCGUUCAAUCUGAACCAAGAUCAAACUCUGA
rnacentral:rRNA from 1 species